rnacentral:rRNA from 1 species
AGCGAACGCUGGCGGCAGGCUUAACACAUGCAAGUCGAGCGGGCACUUUCGGGUGUCAGCGGCGGACGGGUGAGUAACGCGUGGGAACGUGCCCUCUGGUUCGGAAUAACUCAGGGAAACUUGAGCUAAUACCGGAUACGCCCUUUUGGGGAAAGGCUUGCUGCCGGAGGAUCGGCCCGCGUCUGAUUAGCUAGUUGGUGAGGUAACGGCUCACCAAGGCGACGAUCAGUAGCUGGUCUGAGAGGAUGAUCAGCCACACUGGGACCGAGACACGGCCCAGACUCCUACGGGAGGCAGCAGUGGGGAAUAUUGGACAAUGGGCGCAAGCCUGAUCCAGCCAUGCCGCGUGAGUGAUGAAGGCCUUAGGGUUGUAAAGCUCUUUUAUCCGGGACGAUAAUGACGGUACCGGAGGAAUAAGCCCCGGCUAACUUCGU